rnacentral:rRNA from 1 species
ACGGGGUGCACCAGGCGCCGAAAACCUUCACCACUGGGGGGGAAACCCCGAUGAGGGAAACCCUAGUGCUAGGACAUUUGUUCUAGCUUUUCUCAAGCGUAGAUAACUUGAGGAAUAAGGGCUGGGUAAGACGGGUGCCAGCCGCCGCGGUAAUACCUGCAGCCCAAGUGGUGGUCGAUUUUAUUGAGUCUAAAACGUUCGUAGCCGGUUUGGUAAAUCUUUGGGUAAAUCGGGAGGCUCAACUUUCCGACUUCCGAAGAGACUGCCAAACUUGGGACCGGGAGAGGCUAGAGGUACUUCUGGGGUAGGGGUAAAAUCCUGUAAUCCUAGAAGGACCACCGGUGGCGAAGGCGUCUAGCUAGAACGGAUCCGACGGUGAGGGACGAAGCCCUGGGUCGCAAACGGGAUUAGAUACCCCGGUAGUCCAGGGUGUAAACGCUGCCGACUUGGUGUUGGGGACCCUUCGGGGGUGUUCAGUGCCGGAGAGAAGUUGUUAAGUCUGCUACUUGGGGAGUACGUCCGCAAGGAUGAAACUUAAAGGAAUUGGCGGGGGAGCAC